CUCAGGACGAACGCUGGCGGCGUGCCUAACACAUGCAAGUCAAGGGGCCUUCGGGUCACUGGCGCACGGGUGAGUAACGCGUAGAUAAUCUGCCCUUAUCUCAGGCAUAACUUCGGGAAACCGGAGCUAAUACCUGAUGAGGCUGCAAAGUCAAAGGUUUACCGGAUAAGGAUGAGUCUGCGUCUGAUUAGCUAGUUGGUAAGGUAAAAGCUUACCAAGGCGACGAUCAGUAGCUGGUCUGAGAGGAUGAUCAGCCACACUGGAACUGAGACACGGUCCAGACUCCUACGGGAGGCAGCAGUGAGGAAUUUUGGUCAAUAGGGGAAACCCUGAACCAGCGACGCCGCGUGUACGAUGAAUGGGCUUUGCCCUGUAAAGUACUGUCAGAUGGGAAGAAAAGCCUGCUCAGCAGGCUGGGACUGUACCAUCAGAGGAAGGACCGGCUAACUACGUGCCAGCAGCCGCGGUAAUACGUAGGGUCCUAGCGUUGUCCGGAAUUACUGGGUAUAAAGGGUGCGCAGGCGGGCUUGUGCGUCAGGGGUCAAAUCCCGGGGCUUAACCCCGGACCGGCCUCUGAAACGGCAAGUCUUGAGUAUGAGAGAGGAUAGUAGAAUUCCUGGUGUAGCGGUGAAAUGCGUAGAUAUCAGGAGGAAUACCAGUGGCGAAGGCGGCUAUCUGGCUCAUUACUGACGCUCAGGCACGAAAGCGUGGGGAUCAAACAGGAUUAGAUACCCUGGUAGUCCACGCCCUAAACGAUGUAUGCUUGGUGUUGGCGGUUUGCCGUCAGUGCCGGAGGAAAUCCGUUAAGCAUACCACCUGGGGAGUACGAUCGCAAGGUUGAAACUCAAAGGAAUUGACGGGGGCCCGCACAAGCGGUGGAUUAUGUGGUUUAAUUCGAUGCAACGCGAAGAAUCUUACCCCGGGCUUGAAGUGCCAGUGGACAGUCCCUGAAAGGGGAUCUUUCUUCGGAACCGCUGUAGAGGUGC
rnacentral:rRNA from 1 species